CAAUUUCAGCCCAAUUCAUGGGAUCACGGCCCACAUUUUCACCAACGUUUAAAAAUUCAAUUUCGAAUAUCAUAUUCAAAUUCGAUUUUAAAUUUUUAAACCCCCAGAAAAUAUCUAUUAUCCUAAUAACCCUAUUCGAAAUUCGAUUUUGAACUUCGAACCAACUCCCAAAAUAUCUCUCAACCAACAUUCGUUUGAAUUUUGAAUACCUAUCCAUCCCACAACCCAUUCAAAAUUCAAUUUUGAAUUUCGAAUCCCCAACCAACAUCCAUUCGAAUUUUGAAUACCUAACCACCCAACAACCGAUUCAAAAUUCGAUUUCCCUAACCGACUCCCCAAAAUAUCCUUCAACCAUCCAACAACCCAUUCAAAAUUCGAUUUUGAAUUUUGAAUCCCUAACCGACUCACCAAAAUAUCCUUCAACUAUCCAACAACCCAUUCAAAAUUCGAUUUCGAAUUUCGAAUUUCUAAAAUAUCCUCCAACAACCCAUUCAAAAUUCAAUUUCGAAUUUCGAAUCCCUAACCAAUUUCCAAAAUAUCCUCCAACAACCCAUUCAAUAUUCGAUUUUGAAUUUCGAAUUCUCAACCAAUUCCCAAAAUAUCCUCCAACAACCCAUUCAAAAUUCGAAUUUCGAAUUUUGAAUUCCAACCAAUUUCCAAAAUACCCUCCAACCAUUCAACAACCCAUUCAAAAUUUGAUUUCGAAUUUUGAAUUUCCAACCAAUCCCAAAUAUCUUUCAACCAACCACAACUGUCACGCCCCGGGACCGGCG
rnacentral:lncRNA from 1 species